UACGUAGGGUGCAAGCGUUAAUCGGAAUUACUGGGCGUAAAGCGUGCGCAGGCGGUUUUGUAAGUCAGAUGUGAAAUCCCCGGGCUUAACCUGGGAACUGCGUUUGAAACUACAAGGCUAGAGUGUGGCAGAGGGGGGUGGAAUUCCCGGUGUAGCAGUGAAAUGCGUAGAGAUCGGGAGGAACACCAGUGGCGAAGGCGGCUACCUGGACCAGCACUGACACUGAAGCACGAAAGCGUGGGGAGCAAACAGG
rnacentral:rRNA from 1 species